UACAAAAAACAGGGGAGCUCGUUGGCGGGCUGAGAGGAAGUAAUCGAACUUCGACCCUUUAACCUGAUGCGGAUAAUGCCGCCGUAGGAAGUCAUGAUAUGAAUUUU
rfam:Clostridiales sp. SS3/4 draft genome.